rnacentral:rRNA from 1 species
GACGACCGCUGGCGGCGUGCUUAACACAUGCACGUCGAACGAAGUGGCGAACGGGUGAGUAACGCGUAAUUAACCUGCCCUUCAGAGGGGGACAACAGUUGGAAACGACUGCUAAUAACGCAUACUGAAGGAGGGGAUUUAGUCUGAUUAGCUAGGUGGCGGGGUAACGGCCCACCAAGGCGCUGAUCAGUAGCCGGUCUGAGAGGAGGAACGGCCACAUUGGGACUGAGACACGGCCCAGACUCCUACGGUGGGCAGCAGUGGGGAAGCUUCCGCAAUGGACGAAAGUCUGACGGAGCAACGCCGCGUGAGUGAUGACGGCCUUCGGGUUGUAAAGCUCUGUUAAGCGGGACGCGGUACCGGAAUAGAAAGCCACGGCUAACUACGUGCCAGCAGCCGCGGUAAUAC